rnacentral:rRNA from 1 species
AACGUAGGUACCGAGCGUUAUCCGGAUUUACUGGGCGUAAAGCGCGUUCAGGCGGUUUGGCAAGUCGGGCAUGAAAUCUCCCGGCUCAACUGGGAGGGUGCGCCGAAUACUGAAUGACUUGGAGUGCGGGAGAGGUGAGUGGAAUUCCUGGUGUAGCGGUGAAAUGCGUAGAUAUCAGGAGGAACACCGGUGGUGUAGACGGCUCACUGGACCGUAACUGACGCUGAGACACGAAAGCGUGGGUAGCAAACAGG